rnacentral:tRNA from 1 species
GCUCCCGUGGCCAAGUGGAUACGGCGUCCGCCUCCUAAGCGGAAGAUCCCGGGUUCGAAUCCCGGCUGGAGUU